AGUUUACGCCCCCAGAAAGCAUCCAAGCAACGGUUGGGCCUGCCACGACUGAAUCCGAAUCUCCACUACCUGAGCAACCUUCGGCACCAGAAAUUUCUGAGACGCAGGUUGAGUCUGGAUUGCCAGAGCCUUCCACAGCUAACACAGAGAGUGUCUCUUAGGAAUGUUGGCAUAAUUUCUUUUAAGGGUACAGCUCAAAAGAUAAUAACCUUUUAGUUCAUACAUUCUUGGAAGGGAAAUAUCAUAUCACCACAGUUAUAUAUAUAAGAUGUUAUUCUUUUUUAUAACAUAACAACUAUUCGAUAUGUUCAAGUUAUUUACCAGAGUUUUCUUUUUUACUGGUACUGAACGAUUUACUAUACAAUUAAAUAAACAAAGCACAAUUAAUUUUUACGUUAUUUCAAAGAGAUUGUAGCAAAAAGAUGGAAAAACAAGAAUAAAGAAAAGAAAAGAUUAUUAAACAUAUGAAUCUUAACAGGACUAGCUAUUGGGAAUGGACGUUCCCGAAAAAGUUAAAAUACUUGAGUUCGCGAGAUAUAAUGAGACUGUUUAUCCUAGAGCUCAUUUGAAAAGCUACAGUCUGAAAAUGAUAAAGUACUCUUAGAAUCAACAACUACUAAUUCAUUAUUUCGAGCAAAGCCUCACUGGGAAGGCAGAAAAAUGGCUCUUCACAUUAGAGGUAACCCAAGUCAGGACCUAGGAAGAUUUGGUAGUGGCGUGUUCUUGUUCUAGUAUUGGUACCAUGUUGAGCUAGCUCUAUUAGAGAAGAAUUUCAGAGAACGGAGAAAAAGAAUUCAAAGACCUUCAAAGAGUAUGCCACUAGAUGGAGAUUCGCUUGUAGAACCCCUCCGAUAUAGAAAGAAACGAAUACCUUUUUUACGAAAACUUUGAAAGCAGUGCAUGCAGAUAAGUUACUUGGUCAUCUUAAUUUCUCAUUCACAGAUAUUGUGCACAUUAGAAAAAUGUGGAGGAUGCUGUUAAAGCAGGAAGACUGAUUGAUUAUAAUUUCCUCAAAAGCAUGCUUGAUCAACACCAAGCGAGCUACAGGAUCAAUCAAAAUAAGAAAGGGGAAAAUGAAGUACAAAUUACGAAUGCAGGGAACUCAUCUCAAAAGCCCUCCACACAACCACUUCAUACUCCCAGGCUACAACCCAAACUCCAAUAUAUCAUCUAUACUCUUCAAAACACAAUCCUCAUAUUAUAACUCCCCUCAGCUUAUACUCUCAUACCCUUAUCCCAUACUUGUCCAAAAUAGUCUUCCUCAUAAGCAAUGUUCCCAUAAACUCUAAUCCACAACAGCUCAUAAGAAUGGAAAGAUAGUUCACCAAAUAGCGCAUAUUUACACCAAAAAUCCACACCAGUUAUUAGCCCUUGGAAGAUAAAGUUGGAAUCUCCUAGAUCGGUAGUAUUUCUUGGUCGCUGCAGUUCAACUAACACGUUAAUAAACUAAAUCUUAAACUUAUUGAGUCAAAUAUCAUAAUUUAAGAACUAUCAACCGAUAACAUACCCAUAAAGUGGUGAGUUCUAUAUUAUUAAUGAAGUUCUACCUCAUCAACUUCAAAUGCAAUGCUAAGACUUGAUUUAUAAAAUACCGAAUUAUUGGUAGUUAAAUUACUUCUUUGAUUCGAACGCGAUAUGAGAGAAUACAAGGUACUCUGAUAGAUCCAACCUCCAGAUGGAGGUAGUUAAAUUGCUAUUAAAAAAUAGCACAUGGAUACCUAAUAUGUUAAAAAAUCUAGUUAAAUUUUGAAUAUAGUUUUCCAAUAUUUUCCAAUGAGCUACACAUACAUAUCUAUAUAAAUUUAUGUAUGUAUAUUAUAUUGCGUGCGAAAAAGAGAAACUACCUAAUCCAAACAGCCAAUAGUUGUUCAAAUGUUUGACUCAGUUGGCCUACUCUUUCCCUUUCGUCACACUAUUUUGAACUCAAGCUCCGAUUCAAAACUUGACAAAAACAUAAAAAGGAAAGAAAAAAACCAGUUCGAAUAAUUUUGACCUUUUCCAAUCGCAGUUGAGUGCUAACGGAGACUCCGAAAAUGGCGAAUUCGAGAAGAAGCAACCAUGUCGUUCAUCCAGUCGAUAUGGAAGCUCCUCCUCAUCCUCCUGCGGAAAUCAAGCAAUUUAAGAAAUGGAUGUGUUGGUUAAUACCUGUUUUCGUCUCUGCGAAUCUUAUCGUCUUCAUCAUCACCAUGUAUCAGAACAAUUGUCCAAAACAUUCAUCCUCUUGCAUCGCUACUUUCCUCGGCAGAUUCUCUUUCCAGCCCUUCAAGGAGAAUCCUCUUCUCGGUCCGACCUCCG
rnacentral:lncRNA from 1 species